UCUAGAACUCGAGAUAUGGGCUAAACAUUGAACAGUGUCUGGGCUGCAGGACAGAUUCAAAAUUCUCUUUUGAUGCUAAUAUUUGGACUUCCAAACAGCAGAAUUAAGUCUUGGACUCCUUCUGAAUGUUUUAGGCCUAUGUCUUAGCUUUCUAGC
rfam:Populus trichocarpa scaffold_15_contig_109, whole genome shotgun sequence.